AGGGAUGUAGCUCAGUGGUAGAGUACAUGUUUUGCAUGUAGGAGACCCCGGGUUUAUUUCCCAGCAUCUCUG